rnacentral:tRNA from 1 species
UCCCUUGUAGCUCAGCUGGUAAAGAAUCUGCCUGCAUUGCAGAAGAUCUGGGUUCGAUUCCUGGGUUGGGAA